rnacentral:tRNA from 1 species
CGGGGUGUAGCUCAGUUGGCUAGAGCGCUCGGUUCGGGACCGUGAGGCCGCUGGUUCAAAUCCAGUCACCCCGA